rnacentral:rRNA from 1 species
UACGGGGGGGGCAAGCGUUGUUCGGAAUUACUGGGCGUAAAGCGUGCGCAGGCGGUUUUGUAAGUCAGAUGUGAAAUCCCCGGGCUUAACCUGGGAACUGCGUUUGAAACUACAAGGCUAGAGUGUGGCAGAGGGGGGUGGAAUUCCACGUGUAGCAGUGAAAUGCGUAGAGAUGUGGAGGAACACCGAUGGCGAAGGCAGCCCCCUGGGUUAACACUGACGCUCAGGCACGAAAGCGUGGGGAGCAAACAGG